rnacentral:lncRNA from 13 species
GCAAAUUCAAUGAACAUUGUUAAACUAUAGGGCUUUUAUUUCCCCCUUAGGUUCAAGUUCUGGACCGCCGUCAAGUUUGUCAAGUUUUAAAAAUAUAGAUGAUGAUAUGGCCACAGUAUUUGAUGAAAUUCUAGUCCAGGAGAUUUUGGAUCAGAGCAAAACAACAUCGACUGAAAUGCCAAGUACAGCAUCAACAUUACUAACAGCAAUACGUAAGGAAAAAAGCAAGAUUCCCCUUUUUAGCCCUCGAAUUGCACUAUUCCUAGAGGUCUGCAGUGUUGCAUAUGUGACCCUGUUAUUUGGGCAUUAAGACCAGCUAUUUCUGGGGCAAGGGCACAUGGAUAUGUGAGCACUAUGGUGUCCAACACCGUUUCUGCAGCUUCCCGAGGCGGAGAAAGUCAACCCUAGCCUGGCAGGGAUCAUUCCCUUUCCUCUGGGAUCUCUGGAGAGCACGUUCAGGCAGGUUCUCGCCCUCGGGAGCCACUGCAGGCACGCAGGGCACAGGCACAUGAGUACAGUUCAGCACUGAGAGAGCAGGGCAGUUAUCAGGACCCCAUUUGACAGAAGGCAAACCGAGGUCUAGGAAAUGACUUGCCCAGCGCCACACAGUGAGCCACGAACAAACACAGACAAUGCACUUUCCCCAAGUGCAGCUUCACGUGGUCAAAGACACAUGCAAGUAAUAGGACAGCUCGUUUAAAACCAAGACAGCGCAUUAAAUCAACAGCUGCCCAGGAGAGAACUGGGUAUCAGAAAUCCCCACGCAGUGCCUGAAAAUGCAUUCAGCAGCGGGAAAGUUCAGCACUCUUUUGAAAUCUUGCAUCCAGAUGUAAAUUCUAGUUCCCAGGACUGGUUCACCCGCCAUCGGCCAAAGCCGACCCGACACCACUGGUUCAAGGGGGUCAGGAAAUGCCUGACUCUGCUUACACAUUAACUUGCCAAGACACAUUUCCAAAUAGAGCUUGCAAACCGUAUUAGCAUCCCGUCCCUACACUGUAUAAUAAAGUAUGGGCCAAAAAUGUUCA